UACGUAGGGUCCAAGCGUUAUCCGGAAUCACUGGGCGUAAAGCGCACGUAGGCGGACUCUUAAGUCGGUGGUGAAAUCCUGGAGCUCAACUCCAGAACUGCCUUCGAUACUGAGAGUCUCGAGUCCGGGAGAGGUGAGUGGAACUGCGAGUGUAGAGGUGAAAUUCGUAGAUAUUCGCAAGAACACCAGUGGCGAAGGCGGCUCACUGGCCCGGUACUGACGCUGAGGUGCGAAAGCGUGGGGAGCAAACAGG
rnacentral:rRNA from 1 species